rnacentral:rRNA from 1 species
UGGGGAAUAUUGGACAAUGGGCGAAAGCCUGAUCCAGCCAUGCCGCAUGAGUGAAGAAGGCCUUUGGGUUGUACAGCUCUUUUAGUGAGGAAGAUAAUGACGGUACUCACAGAAGAAGUCCUGGCUAACUCCGUGCCAGCAGCCGCGGUAAUACGGAGAGGGCUAGCGUUAUUCGGAAUUAUUGGGCGUAAAGGGCGCGUAGGCUGGUUAAUAAGUUAAAAGUGAAAUCCCGAGGCUUAACCUUGGAAUUGCUUUUAAAACUAUUAAUCUAGAGAUUGAAAGAGGAUAGAGGAAUUCCUGAUGUAGAGGUAAAAUUCGUAAAUAUUAGGAGGAACACCAGUGGCGAAGGCGUCUAUCUGGUUCAAAUCUGACGCUGAAGCGCGAAGGCGUGGGGAGCAAACA